GGUGAGGAGGGUAAUACCCUUCCUCCUCCUGGUAUCGUUACCACGAUGUAACGCGACGAGGAACGAGCGGUCGUUCACGUCGUCGUCGUCGUGGUUGUUGUUGCGCGCACACUCGCGGACCAGUUGUGUGGAGGUGCUCGGCAAACGACAGAGACAGAAGGGGGCGGGGGUGGGGGUGGAGUGAGUGCGAGAUGGGUCGCGGGUGUGUACCACCGUAUGCAGUUGUGUACGUGUACCUAGACGACGGCCAGAGGGUUCGAGGAGAGGGGUUGAAGCUGGUGGGGCGGAAGGGUGGCCGAGAGAAGCCGGUGGAGAAUACGGGGCCGGGAGGGAAGAAGGGUGAAUCAUGGCGGGGUGGUCUCUCGAAAGGGGUGGAGUAGGCGCGCGGGGUGUCUCUUUUGAGCCGCUGAACUUUGCCAAGUUCGAAACCGUCCGAGGCCGCGCGGCGACUCACCCUCUGACGUGCAUUCGGCUUCCAACCCUCCUUCUUCUCUCUCCCUCCCUCUCCUCCUCACCGUCCGCCACCCCCCUUCUUCCAGCCUAUCUCCCGUCCGUCUGUCUCGCUCUCCACCCCUCGGGUAGGGUGGCUACGCGUCGCGUCUCUGUCUCUUCUCCGACAGCUUCUCUCUCUCGUCGUGCUCCACCUCGUCGUUCCCUACCCCCAGCCUACCGCUUCGCCGUACCCUCUCAGCCGUCGUGGUAUUAUGGAAAUUUUGAACCAAUUCGAAAAUCAAUAGUCCCUGCCAGGAAGCCUCGAGGCGGCCUACGUUGCAGCGACGCUCUUCCCUAGAAUGUAUUCAGGACCGGCGGUGUGUUUCACGAAUCGAGCGUGUGCUAGCCUCUCGCGUUCAUCCACGGUGGAGAGACUGGCCGACAUUUUGGUACCGCGCCGAAGACCUUAACCCUUUCGGCGAGUGAGACCUCGUAACCGUCGACCGUGGUCGUCUAGGACGGGUGAACACCGCGGAAACCGGUUGUGUCUACGCCGACUCGGGACUACGACUCGCCGAGGAGGUGGAGGCGUCGGAGGGGAACUUCUCUUCUCUUCUCUACUCGUCGGGGGCUCCAGGGAGAGUGAGGCGCGGCAACGCAAAGGGAAAUCACGAUCGACGCGCACAUCCGAACUGAUGCAAGCGUAAAUGCUUCGUGCACUUUCGGCGUGGAAACAUUCGUCCGAUUGAUAGAGGCCCGGGUCGGUUUGACUUCGGGAACGAGCCUAACGAGUGGCCUCCCAUCCACCGAUAUCUUGGCGGUGGGAUCACGGUGAACCACAGCAACGGGUCCAGGCUGUUCCAGAGUCGGUGGGUCUACCAGAUUCGCGCAUGCUUCAGCAACGAGGCGGUUCAUCCACGACACCUCCCGCGACGUCAUCGUCCAACAUGUUCCCCCAACAGUAUUGUCUACGAUGGAAGUACCAUCACAGCAACCUACAGACCAUGUUCUCACAGUUGCUGGAGCGGCAAGCGUACUGCGACGUCACUCUGGCCUGCGAGGGCAAGACUCUGAGAGCGCACAAGCGAAUAAACGACGGGGCUGACGAGAGAAAGAGAGAGAGAGAGAGUCCCGUUGAUUCGAUUCCGCAUCGAAAAGACCAAGCAAUCUCGAUCGUUUAUUUUUCAGUGAAAAACGGUUAACCGUUUUGCUACGUCGCCGCUGUGUCCACCGUGUCGAACAAAUAGCGCAACGUUUGACAAAAAAGCACACGUGGUCCCGGUCGUCGGCGGGCUGAAAACGCGCGCCGGAGAGCAACGAGCGUCACUUUCAUUCGGAUUUCCGUCGGCGUUUCGAGUCGAAAGAGUAAUUGCAGCGGGGGCGACGUUGACCCUUUAACCGACGCUCUGCCCUACGCUGAGCCCGAUAGUUGCCUAUUCGCUUUAAAAUCCCUUUCCCUCGCGCUCGCGCCGUUUCAGUUCCCUUUCGCGCUUUGAAAAUUUGUUUAGAGGCCGCUUGCUCGUUCAGUCCGCGUCGCUUAACGCGUUACACGCGGAUUGUGUUAUCGACGAGACGCGUGCUAUUUCGUUUUCACUUUCCGUCCACCUGGACACCAGUUUCUCUGCUUUUCUCCGCGUAAAUCCCUCCACGCUCACGGUUUCUCUGCGCUAACCAUUUUAUUGCUUUUACUUGGCCCGCGGAUUACACCGCGUUUAGUGGCGUCUCUGGAUCCGCGGUAUGAUUUCAUUUGGAUAUUUCAGGUGGAUUUUUUUAGGACGCCUUGGAAUGCAUCAUUUGUUCACUUCGUUUACCGCGAUGCGCAGUCAGUCUCAUAAGUAUUCGUACUGUUUACGUGUAUUAAAGA